AACCUUAACCUCCCAAAUUGCAGAGGACUUUGUGUAGGUGGUACGUAUACACAAUUUCGCACUUUUUGGGAUCCUUACGACCAAACAUUCCCUUUUCCCUUCCCCCCCCCCCCCUUUCUUCUCCCUAUUUCUCGUUUUAUAUUAUCUCAUUUUGGAAAAUAUUUCAUUUUGAAACUCAUCGACAUUUAGAUCUGUUAAAUGAAAGUAGGAAACACAAUAAUGAACACAUAAUAUAAGAUUAAAUUAAGUUAUUGAUCUUAACAUAGAAUAUAUUUGAUAUGAAUGUGAUUUUGAUUUUUAAAAACCAAUUUAAUUCGUACACAGAGUUCGCAAUAGUGGUACAACCAGUUAGUUACAUCUCUCUUUCUUUCCGUUAUCGAUUAAGAACAAGUUCACGUUACGUUUUAUUUCGACAGCAACAGCAUAGAUGUUAACACCAAAAACAAAUUACAAACAAGAAUUUUAGUUUUACACCCCGAUCUUUGAUUGUAUUCACGUUGAACCUUAAUUUAAAUGUUUCUUCUUAAUUAAAUUUGACGCACGUCUCUGAAGAUGAUAACUUGUUAUCGAAACAUGUAAGACAAAACGAUUAAUAAAUUUAAAACCAGUAAAAAGUA